rnacentral:tRNA from 1 species
GGUUGUAGCUCAGUGGUACAGCGCUUGCCUCGCAUGUGUGAGGCACUGGGUUUGAUCCUCAGCACCA